AGCAGCCGCGGUAAUUCCAGCUCCAAUAGCGUAUAUUAAAGUUGUUGCAGUUAAAAAGCUCGUAGUUGAAUUUCGGGGUCAAUAAGUUGGUCGUGCCAAUGGUAUGUACUGGCUUUAUUGAUUCCUACCUCUUGACGAACUGUGAUGCCAUUAAUUUGGUGUUGCAGGAAAUCAGGACUGUUACCUUGAAAAAAUUAGAGUGUUUAAAGCAGGCUUACGCUUGAAUACAUUAGCAUGGAAUAAUGAAAUAGGACGUUUGAACCUAUUUUGUUGGUUUCUAGGAUCGACGUAAUGAUUAAUAGGGAUAGUUGGGGGCAUUAGUAUUCAAUUGUCAGAGGUGAAAUUCUUGGAUUUAUUGAAGACUAACUACUGCGAAAGCAUUUGCCAAGGAUGUUUUCAUUAAUCAAGAACGAAAGUUAGGGGAUCGAAGACGAUCAGAUACCGUCGUAG
rnacentral:rRNA from 1 species